UACGGAGGGAGCUGGCGUUGUUCGGAAUUACUGGGCGUAAAGCGCACGUAGGCGGCUUUGUAAGUUAGAGGUGAAAGCCCGGAGCUCAACUCCGGAAUUGCCUUUAAGACUGCAUCGCUUGAAUCCAGGAGAGGUGAGUGGAAUUCCGAGUGUAGAGGUGAAAUUCGUAGAUAUUCGGAAGAACACCAGUGGCGAAGGCGGCUCACUGGACUGGUAUUGACGCUGAGGUGCGAAAGCGUGGGGAGCAAACAGG
rnacentral:rRNA from 1 species